GACGAACGCUGGCGGCGUGCCUAAUACAUGCAAGUAGAACGCUGAAGAGAGGAGCUUGCUCUUCUUGGAUGAGUUGCGAACGGGUGAGUAACGCGUAGGUAACCUGCCUUGUAGCGGGGGGUAACUAUUGGAAACGAUAGCUAAUACCGCAUAACAAUGGAUGACACAUGUCAUUUAUUUGAAAGGGGCAAUUGUUCCACUACAAGAUGGACCUGCGUUGUAUUAGCUAGUAGGUGAGGUAAUGGCUCACCUAGGCGACGAUACAUAGCCGACCUGAGAGGGUGAUCGGCCACACUGGGACUGAGACACGGCCCAGACUCCUACGGGAGGCAGCAGUAGGGAAUCUUCGGCAAUGGGGGCAACCCUGACCGAGCAACGCCGCGUGAGUGAAGAAGGUUUUCGGAUCGUAAAGCUCUGUUGUAAGUCAAGAACGGGUGUGAGAGUGGAAAGUUCACACUGUGACGGUAGCUUACCAGAAAGAGACGGCUAACUACGUG
rnacentral:rRNA from 1 species